GUUAAGCGACUAAGCGUACACGGUGGAUGCCCUGGCAGUCAGAGGCGAUGAAGGGCGUGCUAAUCUGCGAUAAGCGCCGGUAAGGUGAUAUGAACCGUUAUAACCGGCGAUACCCGAAUGGGGAAACCCAGUGUGACUCGUCACACUAUCAUUAACUGAAUCCAUAGGUUAAUGAGGCGAACCGGGGGAACUGAAACAUCUAAGUACCCCGAGGAAAAGAAAUCAACCGAGAUUCCCCCAGUAGCGGCGAGCGAACGGGGAGGAGCCCAGAGCCUGAAUCAGCAUGUGUGUUAGUGGAAGCGUCUGGAAAGGCGCGCGAUACAGGGUGACAGCCCCGUACACAAAAGCGCAUGUGUUGUGAGCUCGAUGAGUAGGGCGGGACACGUGGUAUCCUGUCUGAAUAUGGGGGGACCAUCCUCCAAGGCUAAAUACUCCUGACUGACCGAUAGUGAACCAGUACCGUGAGGGAAAGGCGAAAAGAACCCCGGCGAGGGGAGUGAAAAAGAACCUGAAACCGU
rnacentral:rRNA from 1 species